rnacentral:rRNA from 1 species
UACGUAGGGUGCAAGCGUUAUCCGGAAUUAUUGGGCGUAAAGAGCUCGUAGGCGGUCUGUCGCGUCUGCUGUGAAAUCUGGGGGCUCAACCCCCAGCCUGCAGUGGGUACGGGCAGACUAGAGUGCGGUAGGGGAGAUUGGAACUCCUGGUGUAGCGGUGGAAUGCGCAGAUAUCAGGAAGAACACCGAUGGCGAAGGCAGAUCUCUGGGCCGCAACUGACGCUGAGGAGCGAAAGCAUGGGGAGCGAACAGG